AUACGGGAGGCAGCAGUGGGGAAUUUUGCACAAUGGGGGAAACCCUGAUGCAGCAACGCCGCGUGGAGGAUGAAGCCCCUUGGGGCGUAAACUCCUUUCGAUCGGGACGAUUAUGACGGUACCGGAUGAAGAAGCACCGGCUAACUCUGUGCCAGCAGCCGCGGUAAUACAGAGGGUGCAAGCGUUGUUCGGAAUUAUUGGGCGUAAAGGGUGCGUAGGCGGUGCGGUAAGUCUUUUGUGAAAUCUCCGGGCUCAACUCGGAGCCUGCAAGGGAAACUGCCGUGCUGGAGUAUGGGAGAGGUGAGUGGAAUUCCUGGUGUAGCGGUGAAAUGCGUAGAUAUCAGGAGGAACACCUGUGGCGAAAGCGGCUCACUGGACCAUUACUGACGCUGAUGCACGAAAGCUAGGGGAGCAAACAGGAUUAGAUACCCUGGUAGC
rnacentral:rRNA from 1 species